AGUGAGGUAAGACUUGUUAACCAUAGCUUUCCAGUGAUCUGUAUCUCCAACAGCUUUCUCUUUGCUGGUUAACCACUCAGGGUAUGUUUCAAGUCUCUUUGGCCAUUCUUCAGGCCACUCUGCUCCGUGUUGUUCUAUAGCUGACGGUAUCUCAUAUAAACAGGUUUUCAUCGGCACAUACCUAAGCCAAAAGCUCAAAACUCAUCAACAAGUUCAUUGAAAGAAAGAUAAAAGCUAUAUAUCAACAAUUGCUGUUACUUACCAAGCUGCGUCUGGGUUCUCGUUUUCCUUGCAAAGAGGUGGAUUCUUCCUCCUUCUCAGUUCAUAGAUAUCAUUUGAUUCUGGUUUCUGAUAUAUUCUUACUCCCAUUUCACUUGCUUCUUCGGUUUUGUGUGCAAGAAUGUUCCAACAAAUAGAAGCUGUCAAUGCAGUCAUCGCUGCCCACCACGGAUGAACUUUGUUACAAGUAGAACUAAUUACAAUAAAAAUACUAAAAGAACAAGUAGAGUUUCAACUAGGCCUGAAAUUUUUAACCGAACCACCGAAAUUUUUGGUUAGUUCGGUUGGAUUCGGGUAGGUUUUCUAAAAAAAAUCGUUUUUUGGUUUGGCAAUCGGUUACAUUGCGUUUCUUCUUUUUUUAAAAAAAAAAAAGAAUACCCAAACCAUAUCAAAAAUCCGAACUGAACUAACUAAAUUUCUAAGCAAAUUAACGGAAUUUAACCAAAUUUAUCUGAAAUUUUAACAAAACUGAACCAAAAUCAAAAACUUCGGUAGGAUUUUUGAAAACCGAACUAACGAAUACUGAACCAAAUUUUAUUUUGGGUUAAUUCGGUAAGAUUUAUGUUGAACCGAACUAACCAAAAACCGAAUAACCCAAACCCGCAUGCCUAAAACCACAGAUGAUUAUGAGCUUUAGAUACACAGUAUAUAUACCUUCAUCAUCCUCAAUCUUUUCAUUAUUACUUGACAAUAUGAAGUAUCCAUUGGGUCUUAAAAUCCUGUUCAUCUCCAGAAGAAGUCUACCACCUGAGAUUGGGAAAACCUCAAAUAAUCAUAUGACUCAAAAAGCAAAUUGAAACUCAUGACAAUGUAAGAAAAACACUUACCAUGAGAAUGCCAGUGGACUCUGCAAGCAGAACAGUGAAUUAUAUCAAAGACCCCACUCGGAAAAGGAAGCCUUCUACUUGCCAAAGCACUGACAAAAGUAGGAAACCCGCGCUCAAGAGCGACUUGUGCUAAGUCGACUAGAUCGUCUUUUAAGCCUAGAGAUACUGUCAAAACAUCCUUAUCCAGCAAUGCAGCUACAAAACUUGACUCUGAGCAUCCAAUGUCCAACACUAUACGAACAUUCUUCCCCCAUUCAAUGUCUGGUACCAUCUAUUAAAACACCAAUCAUGUUUUCAAAAGGUUCUCUUACACAGAGCUUUGAGAUUAACAAAUGAUACUCACCUCUUGGAUGAAUUCAAGGUACUGAAGAACAUUUCCACUGAAGGCAGUCUUGUUCUGUGGGAAGGUUAGGUAUUCACCGGACUCAUUCACCCAGUUGUGCUUCUUUAUAUAUGCAGCCAACUUCGGAUGCGCCACGUUCUUAUACAAUAUCUGAUGUGAAUAAAGAAAAAAAAGCAUGAGAUGAAAACUAACUUAAAAUCAAAGUAAAGAAGAUCAACAGUCUUAACCUUAGAUUUGCUUUCAGGCCAGGGAACAGGAGGAUCAUAUCCAUCAUGUGGUAGAGGAACAAGACACAUUACAGGCUUCUUAGGACAACUCCUCUCUCUAUGUCUGUAACUCUGAAGCCUCCCUAUUAACCCAUCGUUAUCAAUACACGGCAUGUAAUUAUGCUUGCUCCUAGUGUUACACAGUCUCCAGCUAUACUCAGCUUUAGGAUCAAACACUGGACCUUUCCUCUUCCUCUUCUUACUUAUCUCUACUUCCUCCUUCUUUUCUUCCACUUCUUCGUCCACUGAUGCACUUGAUUCAUCCCCAUUUUGAUCAGACUCUCCUUCAUUGCCAUCUGACUCAGUUCCGUCCUCUCCAUCUUCCUUAUUAGACUCAGACUCCUCAGUUUCUGCUUCUACUUGUUCUUGAACCUCUUUAACCACAGCUUCUUCUUCUACUACCACCACAGGCUUAGGCAAAUCCUUCUUCUUAUGUGGAUGAGACACAACAACAUGCUCUUUCUUUUUCUUGGUUUCGUGUUUAUGAACAGACCCACCAACGUGUCUCCCCUCUUUUGAUUUCGAACCAGAUUCAACUUUGCUUCUCUCAUGUGAUUUGCUAGAUUCAGUCACUUCGUUACGAGCUGG
rnacentral:lncRNA from 1 species